AGCGGAUUGCGGAUUUAUCUAAUAUUUUGGCUAGGAUUGUGGAUUUUGCUUGCAAUUUAGUUCGGAUCCUGGAUUGUGACUUCAUAGUAGAGCUUUUAGCGGAUCCAAAUGUAGACAAGACCAUUGUUGGACGGCUGAUUUUGCUUCAGAUUUGGGCGGACUUGUAUACCCCUAUUACCCCCCCCCCCUUUAAGUCUUCGGUUGAAGAAUAAGUCCAUACUAGACUUCCGUACGUCAUCGUUGGUUUAACGAGGGCAUUAUAUAGUAAAGCUUUCUUCCCUGUAUUGGUAGAUACGAACGAAUCUUCUUUUGCACUCCGAUUUUUUGACUCAAUUAUUUUACUCUGUCUAACUCAAUGUUGUUGUCCACAG